ACUACGGGAGGCAGCAGUGGGGAAUAUUGGACAAUGGGCGAAAGCCUGAUCCAGCCAUGCCGCGUGUGUGAAGAAGGCCUUCGGGUUGUAAAGCACUUUCAGUGGGGAAGAAAGCCUUGGGGCUAAUACCCUCGAGGAAGGACAUCACCCACAGAAGAAGCACCGGCUAACUCCGUGCCAGCAGCCGCGGUAAUACGGAGGGUGCGAGCGUUAAUCGGAAUUACUGGGCGUAAAGCGCGCGUAGGCGGUCUGAUAAGCCGGUUGUGAAAGCCCCGGGCUCAACCUGGGAACGGCAUCCGGAACUGUCAGGCUAGAGUGCAGGAGAGGAAGGUAGAAUUCCCGGUGUAGCGGUGAAAUGCGUAGAGAUCGGGAGGAAUACCAGUGGCGAAGGCGGCCUUCUGGACUGACACUGACGCUGAGGUGCGAAAGCGUGGGUAGCAAACAGGAUUAGAUACCCAGUAGUC
rnacentral:rRNA from 1 species